GAAAAAGGUAAGGAAAUGGUUGGUUACACAAUUCACAAGUCACAACCAGCUGUCCGGGAGGUCGAUGUUCUGGAACCUGAACGACGAGUCCCUCGAGUCCUUGCCAUCGAGCCCCGGCCCGCCGCUGCUGUCGCCGUCGAGCUCGUCCGCCGCCGCCACGGAUGGAAGCAGGACCACAGGUGGCGGCUUCUCGACGUCGGCAUCCUUAGCCAGCGCCGCGGCCAGGUCGCGGUCCCACAUGAGGAAAUGCAGCGUGAUGGGGCGGAGCGCGUGGCGGUGCAGCGACAGCUUCUGGCUCAGCGACACGGUGUCGAAGCACUUGACGUUCCCGGCGGUGGACACCAUCCAGGGCAGCACCUUCUCGCCGCCGACGCGGGACACGACCAGCAGCUUGGACGCCCCGCGCGCCGCGCGGUGCAGCUCCAGCAGGCCCGACCGCGCCGACGCCACGCCCGGCGUGCCCUCCUCCGCCACCGACGAGACGUAGAUGAACCCUUCCUCGGUGCGGCUGAUGGCGAACCCCAGCCGCGUGUCUCCCGGGCACAGCCGCAGCUCCAGCGCCGCCUCGCCCGCCGCCGCCGUGUACCACAGCCGCACGGCCCGCACCACGCCGAUGUCCACGCCGUGGUAGUCCUCGAAGCCGUACAGGCUCGCGUUCGCCAUGCCGGCCAGGUCCGACAGCGACGCCAUGUUCACGGUCGACACCGCCGUCUCGCCGGAGAUCUUGGUCAGCAGCGCCUCCGUCUGCACGUUCAUGAACACCACGGGCACGCCCGAGGCCUGCGACGACAGCAGCCACGCGUCCGCGCGCGCCAGGGUGUCCUCCAGCGCGUUGUACCGCGUGUUGGACCCGUCCGUCGCCUUGGGCAGCAGCAGCAGCGAGAGGAAGCUGCUCGCCUCCGGCACCGGCAGCAGCUCCCUCAUCUUCUUCUCCCACGGGAACGGCUCGUACGCGUGGCCGAUCUUGGCGUCGCGCAGCGCAGAGAGCAGCUUGCCGUUCUUAGAACCUUAAAUCAUAGGCUCAUAGCAUAUCGAUCAGGGCAAUUGUUCAUUAAUCACUUG
rnacentral:misc_RNA from 1 species